rnacentral:antisense_RNA from 1 species
GGGGGUACAGGAGCCUCGACAUAGGGCAGGCAUCACUGGGAGGAGCUUGAAUGUUGCUUUCUGACCUGCCCCCAGCCCCCAUCUUUUACCCAUAAAAACCCCAGGCUCCAUUGGCAGAGGGGUGGCACAGUGGCGGAGUGGAGCAGCAGAGAAGGAGAAAAGAGAAGCAGUAGCCAGGUGUCGGAGAGAAGCAGUUUGACUUCAGAGGGAUGGCUUGACAGCGAGACUUCGGAGAAGAGUUCCACCAGGGACAGCUGAACUCCAGGAGAAGACUGCCUUCCCGCUCCAUCCCUGUUCCAGCUCCCCAUCCUGCUGAGAGCCGCUUCCACUGCUCAAUAAAAUCCUCCAUAUUCACCACCCUUCAAUUCAUUUGUGUGAUCUGAAUCUUCCUGGAUGCUGGACAAGAACUCGGAAAUUAAAAUUAAGUAUGAUCAUGAUGACAAUGUUGAUGAUACUGCUGCUGCUGCUGUCUGUACUAUGCAAUGGCCACCAAGAAGUCAAGACUCCCUGGAGAAGACUCCAGAGACCUCUGAAGGUACUGAGAUGGCCACUGUAGAAGAGACCAAUAAGGUACCUCACCUACUGCCUAGCACAUGGUAGGGGCCACUUAUCCGAUCCAUGGCCCCAAAGCCAGCUCCCCUGGAGCUUACAGAGAUCCCCCCACCCUCCCGAGAGCUGGAAAGAGAGGGCAAGCAGAGGGUAGACUGGCAGGGAAAACAAUUCCAGUAAACCCUGCAGCUCUUACAGACGCCAGCCUGGAGGCAGGGAGGAGCCGCGGCCCACGGACACCGUGUGCUCAUACUGCAGCCUCACCUGCUCGCACAGAUGGACACAACAAGGGCGCCAAAUCGCUCACCUCCCAGAAUCACAAUCUUCCUGCGUGUCUCCUCACUCAUGAAUGGCUUGACCAAGUUGAAGACCACGGGGAACAGUUUGGGGGCUGAAACACAUGUAAAUCUCUUGAGAAGCUAGACCAGAAAGGACGUGGGGAUACAGAGC